rnacentral:rRNA from 1 species
UACAGAGGUCUCAAGCGUUGUUCGGAUUCAUUGGGCGUAAAGCGUGCGCAGGCGGUUUCGUAAGUCUGUCGUGAAAGCCCCGGGCUCAACCUGGGAAUGGCGAUGGAGACUGCGAGGCUAGAGUGUGUCAGAGGGGGGUAGAAUUCCACGUGUAGCAGUGAAAUGCGUAGAUAUGUGGAGGAACACCGAUGGCGAAGGCAGCCCCCUGGGAUAACACUGACGCUCAUGCACGAAAGCGUGGGGAGCAAACAGG